rnacentral:rRNA from 1 species
GACGAACGCUGGCGGCGUGCUUAACACAUGCAAGUCGAACGGAAAGGCCCUGCUUUUGUGGGGUGCUCGAGUGGCGAACGGGUGAGUAACACGUGAGUAACCUGCCCUUGACUUUGGGAUAACUUCAGGAAACUGGGGCUAAUACCGGAUAGGAGCUCCUGCUGCAUGGUGGGGGUUGGAAAGUUUCGGCGGACGGGGAUGGACUCGCGGCUUAUCAGCUUGUUGGUGGGGUAGUGGCUUACCAAGGCUUUGACGGGUAGCCGGCCUGAGAGGGUGACCGGCCACAUUGGGACUGAGAUACGGCCCAGACUCCUACGGGGGGCAGCAGUGAGGAAUAUUGUACAAUGGGCGGAAGCCUGAUGCAGCAACGCCGCGUGCGGGAUGACGGCCUUCGGGUUGUAGACCGCUUUCGCCUGUGACGAAGCGUGAGUGACGGUAAUGGGUAAAGAAGCACCGGCUAACUACGUG